rnacentral:rRNA from 1 species
AUAGAAGGCUUAAACUCUUUUUCUAUCUUAAGAUGGCGAUCCUAAGGGAAACCUUAUUAUUAUUACUUCCUGAAACAAAACAUUGUAGUAAGGAAAGGAAAGGAAAUCAACUGAGACUCUGAAAGUAACGGCGAGUGAAAUCAGACUAGCCAAUUCAUCAACUAUCUAAAGCUAAUAGUAAUUAUACGUAGGCCGUGUAUUAUUCUCUUUAAUAAGGAGAAAAUAAGUAAUAUUAUAUUAAUGUUAUUACUUAACCAUAGAAGGUGAUAGUCCUGUUGUAGCUUUUAAACUUAAAAAUAGUUUAAAUUAUAAACAAUUUAAUUGUAAUAUUAUUAAGAAGAUAGUGAUUGAUUCAUAAGUACGAUGGAAGAUACUCUGUCGGAAUAUAAGGGGUACCAUCCUCUAAGGCUAAGUAUUAUAAAUUUAGCGAUAGUGAAUAAGUACUGUAAAGGAAAGUCAUGUUACGUUUCUGUGAACGUAUAAAAACAAGUAUGAAAUAGUAGCUCUAUAAGCAAUUAUAAUUUAACUUAAUAUGUUAAAUGAUAAUGUACCUUUUGCAUAAUGGGUCAGCAAGUUAAUAGGAGUAGCAAGGUUAAAAUCCCUAGCGAAAGCGACUGCUUCUAUAUCAAUAGUAUAUGAAUAGAACCGGGUUAAGUUACUACUAUUAGACCCGAAGUGAGGUGAUCUUGCCAUGAUCAGGUUAUAAUGGACCGAACGGGUGAAUGUUGCAAUAUUCUCCGAUGAAUUGUGGUAAGUAGGUGAAAGACUAAUCAUACCUCUAUAGCUGGUUUUCCACGAAAGAUAUUUAAGUAUCGCAUCAUUAUAUAAAUUUAGGAGGGUACAGCACGUUGAAUUUCAGACGAAAGUUAAAUUGGGGGGCCUUGAAAUCCUACCUUUGAAAAUUAACCUCGGAAUAUCCUAAAUUGUUGUAUGAUAGUCAGACUAUUCAUGAUAAGGUGGGUAGUCUAAACGUAAACAGACGUGAGCACGUGUUUAAGGUUCCCCAAAACCGUUUAAGUGAAAUUAAGGAAGUUUUCCCUUGGAUACAACUAUUAAGUUAGCCUGGUAGUCGCGAUCUUUUAAAGAGUGUGUAACAACUCAUUAGUCUAAGUUGGGGGAAAGCGCCUAAAAUUUAACGGGUCUUAAAACGGUUACCGAUACCGUGUUAUUUUAAUUAUCUUGUUUUUAAAUUAAUUAAAAUAGGUAGUGGAACAUUCAGAGCGGACGAAAAAUAGUGUUUCAUUAUUUGGACGCAACUGAAGAGAUAAUGCUGACAUGAGUAACGUAGAAAGAAGUUAUAAUACUUCUCGCCGAAUACGAAAGGGUUAUUAAGCAAGGUUAAACCGCUUAAUGUGAUAUCGGUCUCUAAGGUUUUAGACUAACGUUUAAACUGAUGAGUUUGUGUUCGAAUUUUUCUGUUGCUAAUAAUAGGGAGCGGAGCUAGCUGCUUCAGCAACUGAACUUGAAAAAUAGUUAACAAUCAGGAUCGACGCUCGAUUAUAAUUAAUGUAAACAUGUCUGCGAAAGUGGUAAUUGAUUAUUGUUAGUUAUUAGAGUUAUUAUAUAAAAUUCAUUAUAGUUAGUAUUAGCUAUAAUUCGAGGAGUGUAACAACGAUCAUACAUGGUUUACUUCAAAAGGCAAAAAGAGUUGACUAUGUAUACGAAUACCGUACCCUAAACCGACACUGGUUCGUAGGUAAAGAAUACUAAGGCGCAGAGAUAAUACUUGUAAAGGAACUCGGCAAACUUUCCUCAUAAGUUAGACGACAUGAGGAGCCGUCUAAAUGACGGUGGCACAGAAUCGGAACCCCCGACUGUUUACUUAAAACACAGAUAUCUGCGAUGAUUAAAUUAUUUGUAUAGAUGUCGAAUUUUGCCCAAUGCCAUUAAUAUAAAGAAGGUGAGUUAUUUUACCGACUGAAAAUCUGGUCAAUGGCGGUCUUAACUAUAAGGAUCCAAAGGUAGCAAAAUUCAUUGUCCGCUAAAUACGGUCCUGCAUGAAUAAAGUAACGAUGGGUUCACUGUCUCUACAAGUAUCUCAGUGAAAUUGAAUUAGCCGUGCAGAUGCGGUUUGCUUAUGGUUAGACGGGAAGACCCUAUGCAACUUUACUGUAAGUUGUUAUCAUGUUUUUUUAAUAUAGGUGUAGCAAUAUAAGGUAGUCGACUGGACAUAAGUGAAAGACCUUAACUUUCAUUAAUUAAACAUUAACCUCGAGGACGAAGAUAGACUGGGCACACUCCCAGUUCGCUUUAUUAAAUAGUCUUAGAUUGUUAUAAGUAUAAUAUUGAAUAUUGCAGACAAUGGCGUUAGUAGGGAGAUAUAUGACAACUUGGCAGUUUGUCUGGGGCGGACGUCUUUAAUAGAGUAUCAAAGACACCCAAAAUUUAAUUAUAUUUUUAUAUUUAUAUAUCCUUGAUUAAAUGUGAAGGAUUUCAUUAAAUAUAAGGUAUUUUUAUUAUGUAAAGUUAACAUUUUUAAAGGUUUGCUAAUAUCGAAUGGAGAUCGAUUGACCAUGUAGGGUUAAUAAGGUGUAAUGGCUAAAGCAAGCUUAACUGAGUGACCGAUAAGUCAAACAGGUACGUAAGUAGGGCAUAGUGACCCGGCGAUAUAUUAUGGAAUAGUCGUCGAUAAAUAGAUAAAAGUUACGCUAGGGAUAACAGGUUAGUCGCGGUUGAGAGUUCACAUGGACACCGCGGUUCGACACCUCGAUGUCGACUCAUCCUAUCCUCCGGGUGUAGGUGCUUGGAAGGGUUCGGCUGUUCGCCGAUUAAAAGGGUACGUGAGUUGGGUUCAAUACGACGUGAGUCAGUAUGGAUCCUAUCUUCCAUAAGGAGAAAAAGUCAAAGGGGAAGGGCCUCUCAGUACGAAAGGAUCAGAUGGCUGUGUUUCUAUAGUGUACCAAUUGUUGGAUCGCUAUUAGUUUAAAGGAUAGGUAGUGUAUUAUUAAUCGAGGGCAUAAUCCUUUAUAAUGGAGUAAUACCUUAUAUAGGUGUAAUGAUAAAUAACGUAGUAUUAAAUAGAAUGUUAACAAUCUAGCAUGUUCCUUAUAUAAUACGUUAGGAAAUUAUUAUAUGUUACAAGAAAUUUUUACAAAAUAGUCGGUCUGGCAUCGUUGGGUAGCCACAAACAUAACGGAUAAGAGCUGAAAGCAUAUUAAGCACGAAACCGUUCCCUAGAGACUAAAAAAUGUUUUUUUAUUUAGCUGAUAAGUUACAUAUUUAUUUAUUU